GCUGGGCGUGGUGGCUCACGCCUGUAAUCCCAGCUCUUUGGGAGGCUGAGGCAGGUGGCUCACUUGAGCCCAGGAGUUCAAGACCAGCCUGGGCAACACAGCAAGACCCCGUCUCUA
ensembl:misc_RNA Metazoa_SRP Metazoan signal recognition particle RNA